AAAAACCCAGUAAGUGGGUGGAUUUUUAUAUUUGUGUCAUGCCUGCAAAGUUGUCUAAUUUCGCUGAUGAUGAAAAAUGAAGGGUGUUGAUAACUCCCCAGCUGAUCGUGAAGGGAUGACAAACAAACCGAUAAUAACAUGUGCAGGAGACUGGAAUUUAUUUUGCACAUUAGAGGCGCCCCUGGUGGCUGCUAUCCCUCAGGAUUCCUGUGAAUGGAGGCGUUCAUAUGGACGCCCUCCUAAAUCUGUUUACUUGGAAGCAUCUUUUGUAAAAUACAACAAGGAUAAAGUAGCAGCGGAGCAGAAUUUGUUGAAGCGUCCUAUCUUCCAUAUUUACUGGACAGACUGUGUGGACAUAGAAUACUACAAAACUACCCUCCGAGAAGAUGUAGAAACAUGGCUGAAGCAACUGGAAAAGAAUGGCAUCACCGAUUGGAUGAUAGUUUUAGUUGAAACUUACGACAUUCGCAAAACAAACAAGCUCCUUCCAAGAACAACGGUCUUGGACAAAAUAAAAGGAGAUUUUGCUGUCAAACAGACUGAGGAUAGAUUUCUUUCCGUAAUCAAUCCUAUCAAGUCUGAAGCAAGGAGUGCGGAAUCAUGGCGUGCAUUGGUAGCAAAGAUCAGGCAUUUUGUACUGGUUGCGUACAACAAAGCAUUGAUAAAGUUCGAAGAGCACAUGAGAGAGCAAAGAGAGAAGCGAAAUGACCCAGAAUGGGAUUUUUGUAAAUACUUUAUUUUACAGGAACAACUAGCAUUUGUAUUAGAAAUGCUAGGUUUGUAUGAAGAAGCAUUAGUCCAGUAUGAUGAAUUAGAUGCAUUGUUUUCACAAUUUGUACUCAAUUCCAACGUGACAGAGAGCCCAAAAUGGCUUGACACGUUUAAGCAGCCAGUGACGUCAUGGCAGGCAGUGAGACUGACCGCCCUGGUGCCCCAGCAUUUAAGGGAGCUCAUAAUUAAGAAAAAGGCGUCGCUUUUAGACUUCAGAAGCUACCUCUUCCAGCGUCAAAGUGCCAUGUUAUUGCUAAUGUUUAAACCUUGGGAGAUCGCUUCCCUCUGUCUGAGCACCGUCCAAAACACGCUCGUCGAGUUGUCUCUGCUGAGCGUAAGCGUCGUAGAGGGUGCUGCUGCUUGCUGGGCCCAGUUGGCGUGUGCGGAGACCCUUAGGGCCUGUGAGAGGCUCGCAGCGUCGAAUAAUGCUUUGGAGAUGUGUACAGCUACUCAGGCGCCGUUACUGCAUAAUGCUAAAGACAAGCUCCACGAGUUAGGAAAACUCUGCGGACUCCUCCCAGGCUCUCCCGAUCCCACAUCAGAACAGCUCCAUCUAGUGGUGAUGCUAUCAGCCGGCAUGGGCGACAGCGAGCCCAACAACCAGCAGCCCACGCCCACCGACAGGCUGAAGGAAGCGCUGCUCAGCAAGACUAGCUUCCAGCAGUAUUAUCUGGAGUUGGCUGAACUAGCUAUGGGGACGUACAAGCAUAUUGGGAGGUUAAGAUUCGCCCGUCUAAUAGGCCGGGACCUCGCAGCCUUCUAUUCCGAACUAGGCGAGACAAGUAAAGCGGUGGUGUUCCUCAUGGAUGCUCUUCGAUCAUACGAGGAACAAGGCUGGAAGGACCUGGCAGCCCAGACCAGGCUCGAGCUGGUAGCAGCCGCUAAGAAGAUGAACGAUGUAGAUAGAUAUACAAAGCUCUCUGCAACAAUAGCGUGUACAGCCGAAUUAGAGAUUCUAGUCAGAAACUUCUACUUCGAAGAGAUGAUGAACUCAAUAAGAGUGGACCUCAACGAAAGGACCGAAUCUGUCCUCACAGAGCUCAAUGACUGCUUCAAGAUAAUCUCAACAACCCUCGUGCCGUCCGAUCGUGGUGUUUAUAUCACUGAGAACAAGGUCCAAUGUUGCUUGCUCGUCGAGUCGCAUUUCUCGAAAGAUGUGAACUGCACUCGAGCGGCGAUCAGCAUAGAAUCUUGUAAGGAGGAGAUGCAAGACAAAAAGACGCCGGUCAAAAGCUAUAAGACUGAUUUAAAUGUUAACGGUAGUGUAAGUACUCAGACUAACCUGCAGCGAAAGACGUCAGACGUGUCCACCGACAGUGACGUGUGCAACCUAAUAAGCAGCAUAAGACUGGACGAUUUAAAACCUAAGAAUCCUUUGCUAAACCCUUUACAAAUUACUUCUAAACUACUCUACAAGGAGGACAAGACUCUACAGAAAGCCACCAUCGAAUGUCAGAACCCAAAAGUGACACUAAAACGUUCUGACAGUAGUAAAUAUAGAAAACCUUCGGCCACAACGAGGAACAACUUCUUAACUUCCCUAGCGCUAGAAAAUGUUGUUCUAAAACCCGGUUUGAACGAGUUAAAACUGGAAUACACCGCGAAUCAAUGUGGUACGUUUAAACUGGGACAGGUGUCGCUACUGGUCGAGGGAAAAUUGGAGUUUCUGUCAAAUGUUUUGAAUAGUACCAAGGUUGGGUUCGAUGUGGUGACCCAAGGUGUGAAUGUGUACUUGAACAAAAUAGAGCCGAAGAAGGAUUUAGUGGCGGGUCUAGAACAUUCUAUGGAACUUGUCAUUACUAGUGGCAGUGCGCAGUUGAAAGAGAACACCUCAAUCCUCCUCAAGACAUCAGCAGGCCUGCUCAUCCGGUUCGCUGAUGACGACACAGCGAUGACGCGAGAGCUGUCGAUACCGGUGCCGCCUAGCAAACCGUUUGAAACCACCAAAGUGCCGCUCAGACUGUUUGCCAGCUUGCAACCGAAGAGGGAGAAGAGUAUUGAACAUACUGUAUGGCUCAACUGUCCAUGGUGGGACAACGCGACAGAAGUGCCACUCCACUUUUCUCCCCCCAUGGUGGCGUCAUGGCGUCUGCUGACGUCAAACACCAGGAAGUUCAUACACGUCACGCUGAAAUCCGCUGUGGCGCACUUCAUACAGUUUGUGUUGACCGAACCGAAGCUGGAGUGUGAUGGGAAUAAUACCGUGUCAGAUUUGAACCCGAAGAAUGUUAGUGAAAUGAUGGUAGCAUCGGACGGAACCACAGCUUCCUUCAUGUGGGAGCUCCUUAAAGACCCUUUAGUCAAGGCUGGGCCAAUGAAAGCCACAUUCAGCGUACUAUACAGACUGGUAGAACUGGACGAACCGCCCAGAACGUUCUCCUGCCCGUUUGAUAUCCAGGACUAUACGACUCUGUUCGUGAUAAGGACGAAAUUGGAGCCUAGUAAGGGAUCGGACUUUUGUAGGGCUUCGCAAGUGUGCUGUUUGCAGCUGAGUGUACAGAGGGUAAACGAAACAGAAUACACAUCGCUUAUGUACGAAGUGUUAGCAGACCAGACGAUGUGGGCUGUGUUGGGGCGGACUGCAGGAGUAAUAACAAUGGAGUCAAACUGCACGGAGGCUCAGAGCGUGACGCUAGAUGUAAUGCCACUAGUGGCGGGCUACCUGCCGCUGCCCACCGUGCGACUGUCCAAGUACAUCGCGGCCAAUACCAAAGAUCCAAAGAAAGACAUCUCCGCACAUCCACGUCUAGAGCCGUUCAGUCCCGGACAAGUGUACCACGCGGGCAAGGCGAAACAAGUCCACGUGCUAGCACCCAUGCCUAAGGAACACCUGGACCCUAACAUGAUGUAACACUCGACGGGAUUGCUAGGUAUCCACCUGGACCAUAUGUGGAUGUAACACCCGACGGGAUAGCUAGGUAUCCACCUGGAGCCAACGUGAACACCCGACGGGAUGACGAGGUAUCCAGAUGGAUCCUAACUGGUAUAACACACGACGGGAUAGCUAGGUAUCCACCUGGACCAUACGUGAUGUAACACGACGGGAUAGCUAGGUAUCCAGAUGCAUGCAUCCUAACUGAUGUAACACCCGACGGGAUAGCUAGGUAUCCACCUGGACCAUACAUGAUGUAACAUCCGACGGGAUAGCUAGGUAUCCACCUGGACCAUACAUGAUGUAACACUCGACAGGCUAGUUAUUCAGAUGCAUGCAUCCUAACUGAUGUAACACCCGACGAGAUAUCUAGGUAUCCAGAUGGAAUCUAACAUAAUGUAACACCCGACGAGAUAGCUAGGUAUCCAGCUGCACCACGAAAUGAUAUGACUAGGUAUCCAGCUAGACUUUAGCAAGAUGUAACACCCGACGGGAUAGCCAGGUAUCCAGAGAUUAUGUAGCCAUAGCAACUAGGUGACGGGUCUUAUCUAAUGGGUAUAAUAAUAUGUUGAAAAUUUUCAUCUUUCUGACAGCGAGAAUUAUAGACAAAGAUCUCAAAUAUGUGUGCACUAUUCCAAACUUGCAAGAAGUAAAAAAAUCAAUAAAAAAAAGUUUUGAUGACUCGGCCCCUAGUUGCCAUCGGUCAAAGUUAACUAUACUAUACUGUCUAUAGAAAAGUUACGAUUGAAACGAUCGAGAGAAGCGAAAACGAAUCGAAAGCUAUGAUAUUAUUAGAUAGUGACGAUAAAAAAUAUCUUCAAAAAGAUGUGGGAAUUUGGGAAAUCACUUGUAUAGAAUUGUAUGUUUUUAUUAUACAAAGUUAGUAUAGGUUACAGUAAUGUAGGUUCAAGAGAAAUAUAAAACGGGCAAUUGGAUCGAAAUAAUGGGUGCAAUGAUUGAGUUAAAGGUUUUCUUAAAAAAAACGAGUUAACGAUUUGUUUAGUGAUUCAAUUUUAAACCGAGCUUGGCAUAAAUAAGAAAAUAUAAUAAUAACUUAAAGUUAGUAUAGCAAAUACUGGUGCGACUCGCUAUGCUUCUUUUAUCCUAUCCUAAUAGUGAAAAAGCUUAUACGUUUUUAAAUGCCUGCUUUGCUUACAAAUCUCUUACAGAAAUGUAUAAUCCCUAGUGCCAUCAAAUAAUCUUAAUCAUAGCUUUAAAAUGUAGACUUCAAUUUAACAAUUUUCAAAAACCGUUUAAUGAAUGUAACAAAAAAAUUACAUCUAUGUGCUCGUACCGUUUGAAAGUUUUUGUAUUGGCUAGGUAAAAUAAAAGCUGGAGAAGUGAAAUAAAAGUAUUUGCAUUACCACAUGGCUAGCGCGGCACUUUGCGACAUGUUCGCAAUCUUAAAGAAAAAUGAGCGGACAACGAAAGUUACGCGGUAUGGGAACUCCUACAAAUGAUAAUAAUAAAAAAAGCUUUGAAACAUAAUAUUCAAAUUGUCUUAUAGGUACAAGCUCAAAACAUUCAGUCCAGCUAAUUUUAAGUAGUAAUUGGAUGUGGUAGUGUAGUUAAGUAGCUUAAUUGUUAAAUUAAUUAAAAAUUAACAGCUGCUCUGCCCAAUAAUGGCCAAUACUACAAGUGUGAAAACAUUAUUAAGGAAAAAUAGUUUACAUUUUAGAAUAACGUGUAACUGGAAAAGUGAAACUUAUUCUGAUCGCGAAACAGAGUUGUAACUUGAACUUUGUAUUGUAAACCUUUUUAAUUAAUUUCUUAAUAUCGACAGAUAAACAUAAAUAAUGUAGGGUUUAUUUGUAAUCACCAUCCCAGUGAUAUGUUCAGAAAUGAAAAUCUGUUGGACCACCAUACAUUGUGAUAAGUAUAUUCCUUGUAAGGUUAUAUGAGUAUGUAUAAUGCGUAUUAAAAUGCUCUAAUUGUAUGUAGUCCUAAAUUUACUUAUUCUAAUUUAAUUCGAAAGAAAUGCUGAAAUUUGUACAUGUAAUUUAUUACCGAAUAUUUCUGAAUUAUUUCUGGGCUAGAUAUGAAAACAUAGUUGUCUACUUUAAUUUAUAGGAAAUAAUAAAUAUAAUGCGACAUUUAUGUGCUUGCCAAAUGUAUCCAUGGAUAGCCAUAGACCACAAAGAGUUUGUGCUAACAAGGGAAUCCACGCCCACUUCUCUAUAAUUCGAUGUUUUAUCUGUGCAAUGCCAAUGGAUACGUAGGGUCAGCACUUUUUAAUAAACUUUUUAAUAUUGUGACAAAGUAAUAUUGGUGUUAAUAGAAAAUGAGCUUUGUCGUCUUGCAUAAGAGUCGAUAUUAGUAUUUUUACUUAGUUAUGUGCUAGAAAAAAGCUUAGAUCGUACGGUUCGGGUAUUUACAUUAGUAAUGAAAUGAUACAGGCACACAGCGGCAUGGCGGUAACGUUUCUAGCGAGGGGUAGCAAUAAUGAAGCUUUUGCCGCUGUGUAUUCAAUUUUUUACUGUGUAGAAUUAAUUUCAGAAACCACAUUUUAUAAUCUUAGCUUUCAGAUCACUCAUUUAGCGAACGACGAUCCCCUAUUGUAUAGAGAUGAGAUGACUUUUAGGAAUUCGCAAUUUAGCCCAGUGACGGACUAAGGGACGCGGUAUUUUGUUUUAAACCCUAAAAAUGCUUGUGCACCUGCAACGAUCGGCUUGUGCAUAAAUACAAGCACUGAAAUAAGCCCCAAUCUUCAAAUGCCAUAAUGUUUCGACGCCACAACGAUUUUAUUUUGGCUAGUCUCUUUCUCGUCUUCUCUUAUAGUAACGUUUCUUAAGUUGUACAUAAUAAAUUUGGUGCUAGGAUUACAAAGUGUCACACCAAAUUGUUUUAUAAAACUAUAGCAACAUGGUUUAAUUUAGGUUAUUUAGGUUUAUGUGUUUUUGUAUAUCUUGUUAUAGUUAGUUGUACAAGUUAAACUUUCGUAUAAUUGCAAUUUUCAUUUUAAAUAUUACUUGCUGGUGAAUGCCGAAAAAUAUUGUAUAAGGUAUAUAAUAUAAUGACUUCACUGGAUGUUGUUUGUUUCUAUUGUUAUGUAUUUAAUCAAUGUGUUUAAAAAUAAACUGAUGUGUUAUUCAGCUGAGAUGAUGAAAAAAACGUCAUAAUAGUUUUAAUAAUGAUAUCUGCAUGUCAUUUUCAUCACAUACAACUUUGAAACUACUAACAGUGUCAUACAAUGUAUCAUCAAUGAUCCUUAAUUUUAUUUUGGUUGACGAAAACUUGGUGUUUAAAUACUAACAUAGUCAACUACAUUGAAGUAAACUAUUUUUUUUUAAAUAGUUGUUUAUCAGUUGUGGACCUGAUAAUGAAAAAGCCUUUUUGUAAUAAAUUAAAUCUGUUCUUUAUCCCAAAGAUAUACACAAUGCUUUAAUAUUAAAAUUGUCAUCGAGUAUAUAGAAUUCUUGAGCAAACAUUUUCAUAACACAUUUAAUUUUGAUGUAGGAAAUUUAUUUUUCAAAAUUGUGUGCUUUAUUUUUAAAUUAUUAUUUUAGUUGUAGGUGUUUAAAGGAAUGAUAUACUCAAUUUUCGUGUUAUAGUUGCAAUACUAACGUUAGAGGCUUAAGUUUAUUCGUUCCAACUAACGGAAAAUAUUAACUUUGAUGGAGAAGUUUCUGUAUAUUUUAGCUAUAUUUCUUAUCAUGAGACUAUUUAUGACUAUGUUUAUUCUCACGGUUGAU